CCUACGGGUGGCAGCAGUGGGGAAUCUUGCACAAUGGAGGGAACUCUGAUGCAGCGACGCCGCGUGAGUGAAGAAGGAAUUCGUUAUGUAAAGCUCUAUCAGCAGGGAAGAAAGUGACGGUACCUGAAAAAGAAGCCACGGCUAAAUACGUGCCCGCAGCCGCGGUAAUACGUAUGGAGCACGCUUUAUCCGGAUUUACGGGGUGUAAAGGGAGAGUAGGUGGCAGAGCAAGUCCGAAGUGAAAACCCAAGGCUCAACUAUGGGAAUGCUUUAGAAACUGGUCAGCUAGAGUGCCGGAGAGGCAAGUGGAAUUCUUAGUGUAGCGGUGAAAUGCGUAGAUAUUAGGAGGAACACCAGUGGCGAAGGCGGCUUGCUGGACUAUAACUGACACUGAGGCUCGAAAGCGUGGGGAGCAAACAGGAUUAGAUACCCUUGUAGUC
rnacentral:rRNA from 1 species